rnacentral:rRNA from 1 species
AGUGAACGCUGGCGGUAGGCCUAACACAUGCAAGUCGAACGGCAGCACAGUAAGAGCUUGCUCUUACGGGUGGCGAGUGGCGGACGGGUGAGGAAUACAUCGGAAUCUACUUUUUCGUGGGGGAUAAUGUAGGGAAACUUACGCUAAUACCGCAUACGACCUACGGGUGAAAGCAGGGGAUCUUCGGACCUUGCGCGAUUGAAUGAGCCGAUGUCGGAUUAGCUAGUUGGCGGGGUAAAGGCCCACCAAGGCGACGAUCCGUAGCUGGUCUGAGAGGAUGAUCAGCCACACUGGAACUGAGACACGGUCCAGACUCCUACGGGAGGCGGCAGUGGGGAAUAUUGGACAAUGGGCGCAAGCCUGAUCCAGCCGUACCGCGUGGGUGAAGAAGGCCUUCGGGUUGUAAAGCCCUUUUGUUGGGAAAGAAAAGCAGCAGGUUAAUACCCCGCUGUUCUGACGGUACCCAAAGAAUAAGCACCGGCUAACUUCGUG